rnacentral:rRNA from 1 species
UACGUAGGGUGCGAGCGUUACUCGGAAUUACUGGGCGUAAAGCGUGCGCAGGCGGUUUUGUAAGCCAGAUGUGAAAGCCCCGGGCUUAACCUGGGAAUGGCAUUUGGGACUGCAAGGCUGGAGUUUGGCAGAGGAGACUGGAAUUCCUGGUGUAGCAGUGAAAUGCGUAGAUAUCAGGAGGAAUACCGAUGGCGAAGGCAGGUCUCUGGGCUAUAACUGACGCUCAUGCACGAAAGCGUGGGGAGCAAACAGG